rnacentral:rRNA from 1 species
GACGAACGCUGGCGGCGUGCCUAAUACAUGCAAGUCGAACGCAGUGUUGACGGGUGAGUAACACGUGGGUAACCUCCCCAUCAGAGGGGAUAACACUUGGAAACCGGUGCUAAACCGAUACUGAUGGAUGGACCCGCGGUGCAUUAGCUAGUUGGUGAGGUAACGGUUCACCAAGGACACGAUGCAUAGGGGACCGGAGAGGGUGAUGGGCAACACGGGGACUGAGACACGGCACAGACUCAUACGGGAGGAAGCAGUAGGGAAUCUUCGGCAAUGGAGGAAAGUCUGACCGAGAAACGCAGCGGGAGUGAAGAAGGUUUUCGGAUAGUAAAACUCUGUUGUUAGAGAAGCGGUAUCUAACCAGAAAGCCACGGCUAACUACGUGCCAGCAGAAGCGGUAAGUC